GAUGAACGCUAGCGGCAGGCUUAAUACAUGCAAGUCGUGGGGCAGCGCAGGUAGCAAUACUGGGCGGCGACCGGCAAACGGGUGCGGAACACGUACACAACCUUCCGAGAAGUGGGGAAUAGCCCAGAGAAAUUUGGAUUAAUACCCCGUAACAUAACGAUGUGGCAUCACAUUGUUAUUAUAGCUUCGGCGCUUCUUGAUGGGUGUGCGGCUGAUUAGAUAGUUGGCGGGGUAACGGCCCACCAAGUCUACGAUCAGUAGCUGAUGUGAGAGCAUGAUCAGCCACACGGGCACUGAGACACGGGCCCGACUCCUACGGGAGGCAGCAGUAAGGAAUAUUGGUCAAUGGACGCAAGUCUGAACCAGCCAUGCCGCGUGAAGGAUUAAGGUCCUCUGGAUUGUAAACUUCUUUUAUCUGGACGAAAAAAGGCGAUUCUUCGUCACUUGACGGUACCAGAUGAAUAAGCACCGGCUAACUCCGUGCCAGCCGCCGCCGUAAAAC
rnacentral:rRNA from 1 species